UACAGAGGUCUCAAGCGUUGUCGAGUCUAUUGGGCGUAAAGGGUGCGUAGGUGGCGCCGUAAGUCGGGUGUGAAAUUUCGGAGCUUAACUCCGAGACUGCAUUCGAUACUGCGGUGCUUGAGGACUGGAGAGGAGACUGGAAUUUACGGUGUAGCAGUGAAAUGCGUAGAGAUCGUAAGGAAGACCAGUGGCGAAGGCGGGUCUCUGGACAGUUCCUGACACUGAGGCACGAAGGCCAGGGGAGC
rnacentral:rRNA from 1 species